rnacentral:rRNA from 1 species
GUUAGUACGGCGAGUGAAGCGGUAAAAGCUCAAAUUUGAAAUCUGGUACUUUCAGUGCCCGAGUUGUAAUUUGUAGAAUUUGUCUUUGAUUAGGUCCUUGUCUAUGUUCCUUGGAACAGGACGUCAUAGAGGGUGAGAAUCCCGUUUGGCGAGGAUACCUUUUCUCUGUAAGACUUUUUCGAAGAGUCGAGUUGUUUGGGAAUGCAGCUCAAAGUGGGUGGUAAAUUCCAUCUAAAGCUAAAUAUUGGCGAGAGACCGAUCGCGAACAAGUACAGUGAUGGAAAGAUGAAAAGAACUUUGAAAAGAGAGUGAAAAAGUACGUGAAAUUGUUGAAAGGGAAGGGCAUUUGAUCAGACAUGGUGUUUUUUGCAUGCACUCGCCUCUCGUGGGCUUGGGCCUCUCAAAAAUUUCACUGGGCCAACAUCAAUUCUGGCAGCAGGAUAAAUCAUUAAGAAUGUAGCUACUUCGGUAGUGUUAUAGCUUUUUGGAAUACUGUUAGCCGGGAUUGAGGACUGCGCUUCGGCAAGGAUGUUGGCAUAAUGGUUAAAUGCCGCCCGUCUUGAAACACGGACCAA